UACGGGGGGAGCAAGCGUUGUUCGGAUUUACUGGGCGUAAAGGGCGCGUAGGCGGCCACCGCAAGUCGACUGUGAAAUCUCCGGGCUUAACCCGGAAAGGUCAGCCGAUACUGCGGGGCUAGAGUGCAGAAGGGACAACUGGAAUUCUCGGUGUAGCGGUGAAAUGCGUAGAUAUCGAGAGGAACACCUGCGGCGAAGGCGGGUUGCUGGGCUGACACUGACGCUGAUGCGCGAAAGCUAGGGGAGCGAACGGG
rnacentral:rRNA from 1 species